GGACACACUGAGGAUUGACAGGUAUUAUAUAGCGCGCUUGCGCGUCUAUUGUUAAAUAUGCUAGUCCUUUCAUGAUUAUGUGAUAGGUGGUGCAUGGCCGUUCUUAGUUCGUGGAGUGAUCUGUCUGCUUAAUUGCGUUUCAGAUAAGGAUCUAUAUUCUUUACAGAAGUGUUGCGUUGUGCGCAUUUGACCCCUCGUUCGCGAGUGCGUGUCUUUUCGCGCUCGCACGCUUUUUACAUUAGGUCCUGAAAGCAACGAACGUGACCGCAACCUCUUGUUGCCUCAUCUCCCUACUUUUUUAGCACUUCGGUGUUGAAUAAUUUCAUUGAGGCUUUCCAAAACUAGAGGGACCGCUGUCAACUUCUUAAACCAGAGGAAGGUUGCGGCAAUAACAGGUCUGUGAUGCCCUUAGAUGUUCCGGGCUGCACACGUGCUACAAUGAUUGUUGCAGUGAGCAUCUCAAUUUUUUACC
rnacentral:rRNA from 1 species